rnacentral:rRNA from 1 species
AGAAAGGGCGCACGGUGGAUGCCUUGGCACUAGGAGCCGAAGAAGGACGGGACUAACACCGAUAUGCUUUGGGGAGCUGUACGUAAGCGUUGAUCCAGAGAUUUCCGAAUGGGGGAACCCACUAUCUUUAGUCGGAUAGUAUCCUUACGUGAAUACAUAGCGUAAGGAAGGCAGACCCAGGGAACUGAAACAUCUAAGUACCUGGAGGAAGAGAAAGAAAAAUCGAUUUCCUGAGUAGCGGCGAGCGAAACGGAAAGAGCCCAAACCAAGAAGCUUGCUUCUUGGGGUUGUAGGACACUCUAUACGGAGUUACAAAAGAAAGUUAUAAAUGAAGCGGUCUGGAAAGGCCCGCCAAAGACGGUAACAGCCCGGUAGUUGAAAUGGCUUUCCCUCCAGAGUGGAUCCUGAGUACGGCGGAACACGUGAAAUUCCGUCGGAAUCCGGGAGGACCAUCUCCCAAGGCUAAAUACUCCCUAGUGACCGAUAGUGAACCAGUACCGUGAGGGAAAGGUGAAAAGCACCCCGGAAGGGGAGUGAAACAGUUCCUGAAACCGUGUGCCUACAAGUAGUUAGAGCCCGUUAAUGGGUGAUAGCGUGCCUUUUGUAGAAUGAACCGGCGAGUUACGAUUUGUUGCAAGGUUAAGCGGAAAAAGCGGAGCCGUAGCGAAAGCGAGUCUGAAUAGGGCGAAUAAGUAACAGGUCGUAGACCCGAAACCAGGUGAUCUACCCAUGUCCAGGAUGAAGGUAAGGUAAUACUUACUGGAGGUCCGAACCCACGCACGUUGAAAAGUGCGGGGAUGAGGUGUGGGUAGCGGAGAAAUUCCAAUCGAACUUGGAGAUAGCUGGUUCUCUCCGAAAUAGCUUUAGGGCUAGCCUCGAGGUAAAGAGUCAUGGAGGUAGAGCACUGUUUGGACUAGGGGCCCUUCUCGGGUUACCGAAUUCAGAUAAACUCCGAAUGCCAUGUACUUAUACUCGGGAGUCAGACUGCGAGUGAUAAGAUCCGUAGUCGAAAGGGAAACAGCCCAGACCACCAGUUAAGGUCCCCAAAUAUAUGUUAAGUGGAAAAGGAUGUGGGGUUGCUUAGACAACCAGGAUGUUGGCUUAGAAGCAGCCACCAUUGAAAGAGUGCGUAAUAGCUCACUGGUCGAGUGACCCCGCGCCGAAAAUGUACCGGGGCUAAACAUAUUACCGAAACUGUGGAUGAACCUCUUCGGAGGUUCGUGGUAGGAGAGCGUUCUAAGGGCGGUGAAGUCAGACCGGAAGGACUGGUGGAGCGCUUAGAAGUGAGAAUGCCGGUAUGAGUAGCGAAAGAAGGGUGAGAAUCCCUUCCACCGAAUAUCUAAGGUUUCCUGAGGAAGGCUCGUCCGCUCAGGGUUAGUCGGGACCUAAGCCGAGGCCGAUAGGCGUAGGCGAUGGACAACAGGUAGAGAUUCCUGUACCAGUGCUAAUUGUUUAACCGAUGGGGUGACACAGAAGGAUAGGGAAUCGCACGAAUGGAAAUGUGCGUCCAA